AUGACAAAGAAGAAUAAGACACAUUAUCUGCUGGAUGGGGAGGAAAAGCCUACGAGGUCUAUACAUGGCAACUGUAUUGGCAAGGUGAUGUUCUUAACGGCCGUUGCUAGGCCAAGGUGGGACGGUGAAGGAAACGUGACCUUCUCUGGGAAAAUUGGUAUCAGGCCAUUCAUGAAAGAAGUUCCUGCUCAAAGAAGAAGCGACAACAGGCCCAAAGGUACAAUAGAGACAAAAUCAAUAAAGGUCGACAGAUUUUCGAUGAUGGAGUUCCUAGAGAAGGUCUUGCUAGCGAUACAAGUUGUUUGGCCCGAAAGUGAUGCUGGACAGACCAUCUACAUUUAG
rnacentral:rRNA from 1 species